AUUCCAGCUCCAGUAGCGUAUACUAAUGUUGCUGCAGUUAAAAAGCUCGUAGUUGGAUUUCUGAUUGAUAUUUUUGGUCCGGUACCUUCGGGUACAUGAGUAUCAUUUUAUAUCUGUCAUCCUAUCAGGGUUUCUUGGUUUCGGCCUAGGAGUUCUGGUUCAUUUACUUUGAAAAAAUUAGAGUGUUUAAAGCAAGCUUGCGCGAUGAAUACAUUAGCAUGGAAUAAUAAUAUAGGACUACGGGUUCUAUUUUGUUGGUUUCUAGACCUGAAGUAAUGAUUGAUAGGGAUAGUUGGGGGUGCUAGUAUUGGGAGGCCAGAGGUGAAAUUCUUUGAUUCUCUCAAGACUAACUUAUGCGAAAGCAUUCACCAAGGAUGUCUUCAUCG
rnacentral:rRNA from 1 species